rnacentral:rRNA from 1 species
AUAACAAUGAUUCCCCUAGUAACUGCGAGUGAAGAGGGACAAGCUCAAAUUUUAAAUCCGUCGGGUUACACCUGACCGAGUUGUAAUUCGAAGAGGCGUUUUCCGCGUUUUUGAUCAGUCCAAGUCCUUUGGGAUAGGGCAUCAUGGAGGGUGAGAAUCCCGUUCGGCUGAUCAGAUUCGCUUUACGAUACGUCAUCUAAGAGUCAAGUUGUUUGGGAAUGCAGCUUAAAAUGGGAGGUAAAUUUCUCCUAAGGCUAAAUAACGGCGAGAGACCGAUAGCGAACAAGUACCGUGAGGGAAAGAUGAAAAGAACUUUGAAAAGAGAGUUAAACAGUACGUGAAAUUGUUGAAAGGGAAACGAUUGAAGCCAGUCGUACCGGUGGGUAAUCAGCCUUUCGGCGUGAUUAUGUGGAGCGUGAGGAGUUAAACGCCCUCAUGGCCUGAAUAUUCGUGUUCUUUGGGUGUACUUACCCGCAUGGUAGGUUAACAUCAAUUUCGAACGUCAUAAAAUGGUUGGAGGAAUGUAGCUUCGAUCUCGUAUUGAAGUGUUAUAGACUCCGGCAGAUGUGAUGAUCGGGAUUGAGGAUUGCAACGGAUACCCUUCGGGGCUACCCGUCUGAUCUCUGAAAGUUGCUCUGGUGCCGAAAGCUCGCUUACGGUCAUCAAAGUUGACGUUCAACAGGUUAGAACGGGAUAAAUUCGUUAAGGAUGU